rnacentral:rRNA from 1 species
GUGAUUCGGGGCGCAGCAGGCGCGAAAACUUUGCAAUAAGCGAAAGCUUGACAGGGCUAUCCCGAGUGCCAUCCGCUGAGGAAGGCUUUUACCCAGUCUAGAACGCUGGGGGAAUAAGGAGAGGGCAAGUCUGGUGUCAGCCGCCGCGGUAAUACCAGCUCUCCGAGUGGUGUGGAUGUUUAUUGGGCCUAAAGCAUCCGUAGCUGGCCAGGUUAGUCCCCUGUUAAAUCCACCGAAUUAGUCGUUGGAUUGCGGGGGAUACUGCUUGGCUAGGGGACGAGAGAGGCAGACGGUAUUUUCGGGGUAGGGGUGAAAUCCUAUAAUCCCGGGAAGACCACCAGUGGCGAAGGCUGUCUGCUAGAACGCGCCCGACGGUGAGGGAUGAAAGCUGGGGGAGCGAACCGGAUUAGAUACCCGGGUAGUCCCAGCUGUAAACGAUGCAGGCUAGGUGUUUGGACGGCCACGUGCCGUUCUAGUGCCGCAGGGAAGCUGUUAAGCCUGCCGCCUGGGGAGUACGAUCGCAAGAUUGAAACUUAAAGGAAUUGGCGGGGGAGCACAAUCGAAU